GGUGAGGUUGAUGGAGGCUGCGUCACUUUAGUUUCUGUUGAUGUAGUUUCUGAUCUACUGGUGCUGAAAAUAGAAAACAAAUAAAGAGUUUGAAAAAAAGUUUAGGACACAGCAACACAGUCAACAAUUAAACGUAACACGAAGACAUUGAAUAUCGCACAAGACCAAUAGCACUCCAAAAAAGGAAAGAGAAAUCUCAAUCUUCAAUUUAGCAAUCUAUUAUUUACAUGAAUUAUUCAUGUACUGAGACAGUUAGGUGCGUACGGAAAAACAAGCGAUACGUUUGUAAAAUUCCUUCGUGAAACUUGUGUUUCAAAAAACAUGUCUGUAAAUGAAUAUUAUGGGACAGAAUAUUCUUUACAAAGGUACAUUGCGCAAUACAAAUGACCUUUGUUUUUUUGACAUCUAUUGUUCAAUGAGUAACGAUUAGAUGUCUUUAAAAAAAAAUUAACUAUCAUUUGAUCUAUUUUUAAUUGCAAGACGUUAAAUAUAAUAAGGCGAUAUCCAUAAUUACUCUACACUAAUUUUCCGUUGAUGUAGUUAACACAUUGUUACUAUCUUUAUAUCUACUGGGAGUGUGAGAAUAUUCGAGGCCAAGAUGCCUAUCGUACAUUUUUAUAAAUCCUAGACUUGCACAAAAACGCAGGAAAGUUCAGCAUAAUUCAUCGAAUUGAACCAUUUUCUUUAACACACGUUACUUUGAAUCGAGAUAUAAUAAAACUAUCAAAAACUAAUGCUUGAAGAGGCCUGUUCUACACACAUAUAUGUAUUAGAGUGGCCCUUAUUCAGGGUGUUGACGAAUUUUUGCCAGACCAUCCCCCAAAUAAACUUCAAAUAAUUCGAAAACAAUCGCCGAAUUUUUACAGAUUUUUACAUCAAUUCUAAGAUAGUCCGCAUGUGAUCGAAGUUUCUUAUGAAAAUUAACAUGGGUAAAACUUUUUUUCUCAGUAUAUAUUUUAUUGCAAGAGUAAUAAUGUUCCAAAUAAUCUGUAACCGCGAGGUUUUGGUGAGAAUUAGUGCUA